rnacentral:rRNA from 1 species
AACAAACGCUGGCGGCGUGCCUAAUACAUGCAAGUCGAACGGGGAAAGCUUUCGGGUGAGUACUAGUGGCGCACGGGUGAGUAACGCGUGGAUAAUCUGCCUUAGAGUGGGGGAUAACUAGUCGAAAGAUUAGCUAAUACCGCAUAAGACCACAAGAACUGCGGUUCAAGAGGUCAAUGGUUUUUCGCUCUAAGAUGAGUCCGCGUAAGAUUAGCUAGUUGGUGAGGUAACGGCUCACCAAGGCAACGAUCUUUAACUGGUCUGAGAGGAUGAUCAGUCACACUGGAACUGAGACACGGUCCAGACUCCUACGGGAGGCGGCAGUAGGGAAUAUUGCACAAUGGAGGAAACUCUGAUGCAGCGACGCCGCGUGAGUGAUGAAGGCCUUCGGGUCGUAAAGCUCUGUCGCAGGGGAAUAACACAAUGAAUGUACCCUGUAAGAAAGGAUCGGCUAACUUCGUGCCAGCCGCCGCCGUAAUAC